UGAGAGGGUGAGCGUUAAUCGGAUUACUGGGCGUAAAGCGAGCGUAGGUGGCUUGAUAAGUCAGAUGUGAAAUCCCCGGGCUUAACCUGGGAACUGCAUCUGAAACUGUUAGGCUAGAGUAGGUGAGAGGGAAGUAGAAUUCCAGGUGUAGCGGUGAAAUGCGUAGAGAUCUGGAGGAAUACCGAUGGCGAAGGCAGCUUUCUGGCAUCAUACUGACACUGAGGCUCGAAAGCGUGGGUAGCAAACAGGAUUAGAUACCCUGGUAGUCCACGCCGUAAACGAUGUCUACUAGUCGUUGGGUCCCUUGAGGACUUAGUGACGCAGCUAACGCAAUAAGUAGACCGCCUGGGGAGUACGGCCGCAAGGUUAA
rnacentral:rRNA from 1 species